GAUCCUGGCUCAGAUUGAACGCUGGCGGCAGGCCUAACACAUGCAAGUCGAACGGUAACAGGAAGCAGCUUGCUGACUUCGCUGACGAGUGGCGGACGGGUGAGUAAUGUCUGGGAAGCUGCCUGAUGGAGGGGGAUAACUACUGGAAACGGUAGCUAAUACCGCAUAAUGUCGCAAGACCAAAGAGGGGGGACCUUCGGGCCUCUUGCCAUCGGAUGUGCCCAGAUGGGAUUAG
rnacentral:rRNA from 1 species